AUUGAACGCUGGCGGCAUGCCUUACACAUGCAAGUCGAACGGCAGCACGGGAGCAAUCCUGGUGGCGAGUGGCGAACGGGUGAGUAAUAUAUCGGAACGUGCCCAGUCGUGGGGGAUAACGUAGCGAAAGCUACGCUAAUACCGCAUACGAUCUACGGAUGAAAGCGGGGGAUCGCAAGACCUCGCGCGAUUGGAGCGGCCGAUAUCAGAUUAGCUAGUUGGUGGGGUAAAAGCUCACCAAGGCGACGAUCUGUAGCUGGUCUGAGAGGACGACCAGCCACACUGGAACUGAGACACGGUCCAGACUCCUACGGGAGGCAGCAGUGGGGAAUUUUGGACAAUGGGCGCAAGCCUGAUCCAGCAAUGCCGCGUGCAGGAUGAAGGCCUUCGGUUGUAACUAGCUUUGUUACGGUAACGAACGGUAGAGCUCUAAUAAAGACUUAGCUAAUGACGGUACCGUAACGAAUAAGACACCGGCUAACUACGUAGCC
rnacentral:rRNA from 1 species